AGGGAAUGGGAGAGCACAAAGGGAGCGGGAAUGAAAUGGAGCCUGCUUCCAGCCAUGUGAAGAUGCCUGCUGCAGCCUCGCCUUCUGCCUUGAAUAAAAGCUCCCUCAGGCCUCCCCAGAAAAAGAUGCUGCCAUGCUUCCUGUACAGCCUGCAGAACAUGAGAAGGAAGCAUAUGAAUGUUCAGAGAAGAUAAAGUCUAUGUACGCCAUAAAGGAGACAAUGGAAAAGGGGCCUUGAAGUAAAGGUGGAAUUGGCCAGGCAAGAAGGAUAAAGAAGACUAUUAUAGCCCUGGAAAAUAGUAUAAACAAAGACAGUCAGUUCUGCUCUAAGUCUUGUUUUGAAAACAUGAAUUUGUUCCAACCCAAUUCAUAUAUUAGGGAGCAAUCUAAGUGUAAUACAGAUUUUGCAUUUGCUGGUGCAUGGUUUUUCCCUGAGAAACACCAGAUGAAUGGAGAAAACUCUACUGAGCUGAACCAAACAGGGCAGAAGUACACAAAAUGUACACAAGGACACCUCUCAAAUUCCUACCACCUGAGUUUACAGGGUGUGUUAGAAACCCUCUUUCCACCACUUCAUAGGAACUCAUAAGCUGCACCCCUUCCAACGACCAGCUCCAUAUACAAAAUUAAUGUCUGUUUCAGGAUACUCUGCCAUAUUUAUUGCAGCAUGUAUCUAUUUCUUAACCAUUUAAUGUGUGAACUGUGCUACAACUUUAUUAGAUUCCUAUCUUUUUUGUUGUUAUAUUGACAAAACUUCUCAAUGUUGUAACCUCUAACUAUUUUUCCCAUUAGCCCUAUAGUUUUGUUUUUGUUGUUGUUGUUUUGU
rnacentral:lncRNA from 1 species